AGCCGGGUCCUAUACAACAGCGGAUCAUGAACUCCGCCAGGUCCGGAAGGAAGCAACGGCAAUGACCACCUCUGUGUGUACAGGGUGCCCGGCUAUC
rnacentral:SRP_RNA from 1 species